rnacentral:misc_RNA from 1 species
GGAAAUUAUCAAGCUCAUAGCCGCUGGGCAAGAACGCCAGGCAAAGUGAACGGAAAUCCAGUGAUAGAGUGCAAGUAUGAACAAGAGUCUGCAUCAUAUCUUUCAGCGAGUUCAGAUCAUAUGAACGAUUCAGAUGGAACAGAGACACAGUCCUCUGCCAAAGAACCAGUAUAUACUGAAAUGCUUGCUAAUAAUGAAGAUGAAGAUGAGCCUGAAGCUCAACCCGAGGGGCAAACUGCAAAACGGACUCGCAGCUCAGAGACACUGCAGGAUGCAAUGUUGGCGAUAGCCUCAAGCAUCCGACACCUAGCUGACACAAUCGAGCAAAGCAAGUACACCAUUGACACCCCUGCUCUUCUGCAAGCUGUAAUGGAAAUCGAAGGUCUGGAAGAAUCAAAGCAAAUGUACGCCUUUGAGUUUUUGAAUGAGGACGCUACCAAAGCCAGAGCCUUCA